rnacentral:lncRNA from 1 species
AAUAAGUGUACAAGCCAAGCAUAGACUCCAACAUAAAUUUAACCUAUACUACUAAUUCAAAGUACAAAGAAAAAGAAAAAGAAAAAUCCCUGUCAAUGUUUGGCAUCCAUCAGUAGAUGCCAUCAACGCAGAUCCUCCUUUGAGCUAUCAUCAUCCUACCCCUCUUGGGCAUCCUUAAAGUCCUUAUCAUCCUCUCGGUCAUCACCCUGUCCUCCUGAAGUUCGAGCAGCUCCAGACCCAC